UGCGGGUUGGAGCCCGGCUGGUUCAGAGCAGCUCUAUUAUUUGAUUUUUUGAACAGGACUGGAAAGGAGGAAGAAGGGGGAAAAUGCAAAGUGGGUACAGAAGACCUGAAGACUGAACCUCUGGACGGAGUGCAGAAAAGCUGGUGCUUCUCAGCUUUCCCCAGGAGGCCGCUGAGAAAGGGUGCAUUGCUUGACCCAGACAUGACUGCAUCGUGCCUUUUGAGAAAGAUUGGUUCAUAUCCUAUGAGUGAAUUUUGUUUAGCCUAAGAAUCAGCACCAGAAUCUCGGUGCCUGGGAGUUGGCAGCCAGGAGCAGGUGGCCCAGGCCGUGCUGAUGAUGGUCAGAGUGGACUGGACACAGUGGUGGAAGACACAGCUGCACUCCACAGUUAAUUUACAACAGGCCAUUAGCAGGGAGCUGGAUCGGAAGUGGAGCAGCCAGGGACAGGAAUUGUUGCCUAUAUGGGACUCUUGUGUGAAGCGGCAGCUCUACUUGCUACGAAACAACGCACUGAGAAUUUGCAUUUCUCCAAAGCUUCCAGCUGACGCCGAUGCUGAAGUUCUGGAACACAGUCUCAGUGCUGCAGACCAUUUCCUUGAUGACAAUUGGCAAGCAAGUGACACAUGUUAUCUGCUAUCACCUCCACGGUAGGAGUCUCACUCCACAAGGAGCAGCAGUCCCAGAAUUCCACCCACUCCAUGAUUUGAGUUUCCCAAGAAAGAAUCUUGAGAAGCUUAGAGUUGAAGAAGAUCAUUGGAGUCAGGGGCCAGUUCUGUGGCCUAGCUGGUAAAGCCACCGCCUGCAGUGCCAGCAUACCAUAUGGGUGCUGGUUCAAGUCCUGGCUGCUCCACUUCUGAUCCAGCUCUCUGCUAUGACCUGAGAAAGCAGUAGAAGAUGGCUGAAGACCUUGGGCCCCUGACCCAUGUAUAAGACCCAGAAGAAACUCCUGGUUCCUGGCUUCAGAUCGGUGCAGCUCCGACCGUUGCGGCCAACUGGGGACUGAACCAGUGAUGGAAAACAUCUCUCUCUCUUUCUCUCUGCCUCUCCUCUCUCUGUGUAAC